AAUAAUAAUAAAGUAAUAUAAAAUCCUUUUUCCCCUCACAUAUGUGAUACUCAAUUUUCUAAUUCUCAGUUUUUACAUCCAUCAUCUAUGAAAACAACAGUAGAGGAUGUCGAAGUAAUGACGGGAAAGGGAGAAGGGGGCGGCAGCGAGGCUGGUUCGCCGGAGCAAAACACAUGGUGGCCAGCGUUGGUUAGGCUUCACCGGUGAUGGUGGUUCCAGCUAUAUCUGGUGCGGAGAGAGAGGAGGAGCUUUGGUCAGUGUUUUCACCGUUGGUGGUGUCGCCGACGAUGGUGUUGCUGACAAGAAGCGUCAACGGGAAGAGAGAGGGUAAGGGGGCAGCGUCAGAUCUGGUUUUGGGGUUUUUUUUGAUGAAUUUUUUCCAUUUUUUGGAGGAGCUUCGAAGGUUCACUGAUGGAACAGCGAUUCCGGCGACGUUGGUUGAUUCCGGUGGAUUUUCACGUAAUUUAUAUGAUAGGGUCAUUUUUGUCGAGUUUUGAUUUUCCGUUCACUGAUUUGUUCUUUUUUUUCUUUCAAUUUUACUAUUCUAUGAUUUCUCACUGUAUGCAUAUAUGUGAAUUGUAUUGCUGAAAAUGUGUGUAUGGCAGCGGAAAAUUAAAAAAUCAGUUAUGUAGUGUGCUAUGAAUAUACAGUGAGAGUGGAUAUGAAAUCGUGUGUGCAUUUUUUUGAAUUUUCAUUUUUCUUUUCCGUCUUAAUUUUUGAUUUGACAGUAUCAAUAUGCAAUAUUUUCAUAUCCAAAACAUAUAUGUACAAAUAUAUAAAUAUCCAUUACUUGAACAUUUUUCAUUCAUGCUUGUUCAUAAUAAAG
rnacentral:lncRNA from 1 species